AUCCAGCUGAAGAUUCCCGAAUAGAACGAAAUGCGCGUACUGGAU
rnacentral:hammerhead_ribozyme from 1 species